CAGUAGCCGCGGUAAUACGGAGGGGGCUAGCGUUGUUCGGAACUACUGGGCGUAAAGCGCACGUAGGCGGCUUGGUAAGUUAGAGGUGAAAGCCCAGGGCUCAACCCUGGAAUUGCCUUUAAGACUGCCGAGCUAGUAGGUGAGAGAGGUAAGUGGAAUUCCGAGUGUAGAGGUGAAAUUCGUAGAUAUUCGGAAGAACACCAGUGGCGAAGGCGGCGACCUGGUCCUUGACUGACGCUGAGGCGCGAAAGCGUGGGGAGCAAACAGGAUUAGAUACCCCAGUAGUCCCUGUCUCUUAUAC
rnacentral:rRNA from 1 species